UCUAAUGUGGCAGAUUAGUGCAAUGAACUUAAGCUUCAUGAAUAAAAAUUUUUUUUUGUUAGAA
rnacentral:tRNA from 1 species